UAAGAUGCAACGGCAGACCUAUGCUUGGGCAACAUAGGCGUGCGUAUGCUGAGAAUUUUUUUUAUAGGUAUAUGGUAGGGACAGAUAUAUAAUUUAUUAAACUUAAAGGGGGCAGAUUAAUGGAAGAGUUAUACUUAAAGAAGACAAAAAAAUAUUUUACUCUUAAUUUUAAAAUUUAAAUGAAUCUGUUUUGCAGCUUUCAUUUGAGCUGCAAAUAUGUUAAUCUAC
rnacentral:lncRNA from 1 species